GGCACUGAUGGAAAGAAAGGCGACAAAGGGGAGCCGGGAAAACCUGGACCUCCGGGAGCACAAACUGUGACCGAUAACAACAUCCUGACCAGAGUGAUUAAGG